ACAGCAGUCGCCGCGGUAAUACGUAGGUGGCAAGCGUUGUCCGGAAUUAUUGGGCGUAAAGGGCUCGCAGGCGGUUUCUUAAGUCUGAUGUGAAAGCCCCCGGCUCAACCGGGGAGGGUCAUUGGAAACUGGGAAACUUGAGUGCAGAAGAGGAGAGUGGAAUUCCACGUGUAGCGGUGAAAUGCGUAGAGAUGUGGAGGAACACCAGUGGCGAAGGCGACUCUCUGGUCUGUAACUGACGCUGAGGGGCGAAAGCGUGGGGAGCGAACAGGAUUAGAUACCCCCGUAGUCCCUGUCUCUUAUAC
rnacentral:rRNA from 1 species